UUGGUAUCCUCGCAGCCUGGCACAAGGUGUUGCCAUUCUGCUGGAGUUAAAGAAAAGAUGGCUGUCACAGGAUUUCUCCAUCAUCUGGAUUAGAGACAACCACGUGAGAUGAGCCUGACCAGGAGACAACAGAUCUCCAAGGAAACAUCAUGCUGACUGGACUUGGUAAUACAGUCACACAGACACACACACCCCAGAUGGCACAGUAAGGCUCGCCUGUGUCACAGGCUAAAGGGUCUCUCACUGAAGCUGGAUGUCACUGUUUGGGGACCCCUAGAGGCCAUCUGCCUGCCUGCCC